UACGUAGGGCGCAAGCGUUAUCCGGAAUUAUUGGGCGUAAAGAGCUCGUAGGCGGUUUGUCGCGUCUGCCGUGAAAGUCCGGGGCUCAACUCCGGAUCUGCGGUGGGUACGGGCAGACUAGAGUGCGGUAGGGGAGACUGGAAUUCCUGGUGUAGCGGUGGAAUGCGCAGAUAUCAGGAGGAACACCGGUGGCGAAGGCGGGUCUCUGGGCCGUAACUGACGCUGAGGAGCGAAAGCAUGGGGAGCGAACAGG
rnacentral:rRNA from 1 species